rnacentral:rRNA from 1 species
UCUGUAGGCGGGCGAUUAAGUCAGAGGUGAAAUCCCACAGCUCAACUGUGGAACUGCCUUUGAUACUGGGUUGUCUUGAGUUACAGUGAAGUAGAUAGAAUAUGUAGUGUAACGGUGAAAUGCAUAGAUAUUACAUAGAAUACCGAUUGCGAAGGCAGUCUACUAACUGUUAACUGACGCUAAGGGACGAAAGCGUGGGGAGCGAACA